rnacentral:rRNA from 1 species
AUUGAACGCUGGCGGCAGGCCUAACACAUGCAAGUCGGACGGUAGCACAGAGAGCUUGCUCUUGGGUGACGAGUGGCGGACGGGUGAGUAAUGUCUGGGGAUCUGCCCGAUAGAGGGGGAUAACCACUGGAAACGGUGGCUAAUACCGCAUAACGUCGCAAGACCAAAGAGGGGGACCUUCGGGCCUCUCACUAUCGGAUGAACCCAGAUGGGAUUAGCUAGUAGGCGGGGUAAUGGCCCACCUAGGCGACGAUCCCUAGCUGGUCUGAGAGGAGGACCAGCCACACUGGAACUGAGGCACGGUCCAGACUCCUACGGGAGGCAGCAGUGGGGAAUAUUGCACAAUGGGCGCAAGCCUGAUGCAGCCAUGCCGCGUGUAUGAAGAAGGCCUUCGGGUUGUAAAGUACUUUCAGCGGGGAGGAAGGCGGUGAGGUUAAUAACCUUGCCGAUUGACGUUACCCGCAGAAGAAGCACCGGCUAACUCCGUGCCAGCAGCCGCGGUAA